GAUUUCAACUAAAAAAGUCAUCAACAACAAAAUUGUAUAACUCAUCAAUAUCUAUAACUUUUAUUUUGGUUAUUUUUUUAUCCGACAAAGUGAUAGUAACAUUUUUAUGAAAUUUAUAUCUCUCUCUUACAGUUUAUAAAACCAUAUAUAAGAGAUAUGUAAAUUUUGUAAACAAUAUUACUAUCACUCACUUUGUCGGAUGAAGAAAUGACAAAAAUAAAAGUUAUAGAUAUUGUUGAGUUACACAACUUUGUUGUUGACGACUUUUUCAGUUGAAAUC
rnacentral:pre_miRNA from 1 species